AACUUUCAACAAUGGAUCUCUUGGCUCUGGCAUCGAUGAAGAACGCAGCGAAAUGCGAUAAGUAGUGUGAAUUGCAGAAUUCAGUGAAUCAUCGAAUCUUUGAACGCACAUUGCGCCCCUUGGUAUUCCAUGGGGCAUGCCUGUUCGAGCGUC
rnacentral:rRNA from 1 species